rnacentral:rRNA from 1 species
AGUGAACGCUGGCGGUAGGCCUAACACAUGCAAGUCGAACGGCAGCACAGUAAGAGCUUGCUCUUACGGGUGGCGAGUGGCGGACGGGUGAGGAAUACAUCGGAAUCUACUUUUUCGUGGGGGAUAACGUAGGGAAACUUACGCUAAUACCGCAUACGACCUACGGGUGAAAGCAGGGGAUCUUCGGACCUUGCGCGAUUGAAUGAGCCGAUGUCGGAUUAGCUAGUUGGCGGGGUAAAGGCCCACCAAGGCGACGAUCCGUAGCUGGUCUGAGAGGAUGAUCCGCCAACCUGGAACUGAGAAACGGCCCAGGCCCCUACGGGAGGCAGGAGUGGGGAAUUUUGGACAAUGGGCGCAAGCCUGAUCCAGCCAUACCGGGUGGGUGAAGAAGGCCUUCGGGUUGUAAAGCCCUUUUUUUGGGAAAAAAAAGCAGCAGGUUAAAACCCCGCUGUUCUGAGGGUACCAAAAAAAUAAACACCGGCUAACUUCGG